rnacentral:rRNA from 1 species
UACGGGGGGGGCAAGCGUUGUUCGGAAUUACUGGGCGUAAAGGCUCGUAGGCGGCCAACUAAGUCAGACGUGAAAUCCCUCGGCUUAACCGGGGAACUGCGUCUGAUACUGGAUGGCUUGAGUUUGGGAGAGGGAUGCGGAAUUCCAGGUGUAGCGGUGAAAUGCGUAGAUAUCUGGAGGAACACCGGUGGCGAAGGCGGCAUCCUGGACCAACACUGACGCUGAGGAGCGAAAGCCAGGGAGCAAACGGG